UACGUAGGCAGCAAGCGUUGUUCGGAGUUACUGGGCGUAAAGGGUGUGUAGGCGGUUUUCUAAGUCUGGUGUGAAAUCUCCCGGCUCAACUGGGAGGGUGCGCCGAAAACUGGAAGGCUAGAGUGCGGGAUGGGAGAGUGGAAUUCCUGGUGUAGCGGUGAAAUGCGUAGAUAUCGUCAAGAACACCUAUUGCGAAGGCAGCUAACUAAGCUUUAACUGACGCUGAGGCACGAAAGUGUGGGGAUCAAACAGG
rnacentral:rRNA from 1 species